rnacentral:lncRNA from 1 species
CUUAUCCCGAUGCCCACUAGCCCCUCCUUCACUGCCACCUGCCCAGCUCUGAACAGCACUUAAUGGAGCCUCCCCCAGCCCCACCAUGCACCUAAAAUACAGAACAAGGUUAAUGGGUACCGGGGAUGUGAAGGUCUCCCUCCUGCAUGUUCUGAUGCUCAGUGUAAUCUACCACAUUCUCCUCUCUGCACUCAUCUCUCUCUGACACGAGGAGGAAGAAAAGAGCACAUGAUUCAACACUGACCCAGUUCUUGGGGGAGGUGUGGAGAAAGCCUGAGGACAGAGACACAGAACAACAGCAAGCACGGCUGCUUUCCACCUCCGCUGAUUUCUGAAGGCAUGCAGCACUCGCUGAGUGGACAAACCGACACGCUUGGUGCCUGCCAGAAACUGCAACUGACCCCAGGCACAUGGGCCUGGAGCUACCUAGCAACCUAGGUAAAGCUCCCUAAACACCAAGAGAGGCAGACUUUAUAGCUCUACUGUGUAUUGGAUUCCUACAUGCAAGAGAUUCUGCAGCAAAGACAGCAGAUGAAAACCCUAGCCUGCCUGAAGCUUACAUUAUGGUUAAGUAGGGAACUGGUUACAGGUGAUGGAAAUUCUGGGAAGCCACCCUGGAAAAGGGAAGCAAUCAAACAUUAACAAAAACAGGAAGCAGCUAACAGCCUUGGGCUAGACGGACAGCAGAGGAGGCAGCAGGAGGUGACAGUGCCAGAAAUUAGAAUCUGGAGCCAACUAGAACUACAACCAGAGUGAGGCUGUCUGGAGUGACAUGGGACCGUGAAAGGAGGGGAGCUGGGGCCAUGAAGAAGAUGCUGUCAGAGAUCCCCAGGUAGGGAGAAGGGUGGACAGAAAUACCCUGGCUUCUCCCUCCUCCCGCUCACCAGUCUCCAGUCAGACCCUUCCUGCCUGGAAGCCCAAGGACAAGGCACUGAGAGAAGCAGUUCCCUGCACACAGCACUGAGGGGGCGGGGGGGGACAAGGAAAGAGUCAGGAGCAAACCCAGAGGCACGAGAAGUGGCAUCUGUUCUGAGCCAAAGCCCCCAGAAUGACUGGAACUCAGGAUGUAUAAGGUGAGGUGGAUUCAGAAAAUUGUGAGUUUAGAGAAGUAAGGUAGACUGAGGCCAGAUCCCAUCAGCACAUUCUCUGCCAGGACCUACAUUAGAGCAAAAUAAUGCCAGAUUUACGCAAUGCUGGGCUUCCAAGGACUUUCUUCAGACAAUUCAGCAUAAACACCUCUGAACAUCUUUGGAGAAAAUCCAAAAAUCUGGCCUUCCAGAAACAUUUGCUGCUAGACUUCUUACCCCUAACGCGAUGAAGAGUGAAAUGAGAACAGUCAAGAUCCUCAUGGCUCUCCAGAGACUGUCCUCAGCCCGUGGCUAUGGGCACCGAGCUACCUGCCAGGUACGUAAACAGCAGGCAGGAGGCCGACUCUUCCAGACUGCCUGUGGGGUGGAAGACAGGCCUGGCUCUCACAUGAAGUUUACCUGUCUCCUCCUAAACUUCCCAUAUAAAACUAACCAGACAGAGAGCCAGAGCAGACUCCAUCCUUUGAGUACAGUGAGGGGCACCAGCUGUGUGGACCGUGCACUCAGCACUGUCCCGCCCCCUGCUGCCAUUCAUGCAGGCAUGUUCAUUGGAAAGUCGAGCCCUUUUUGGCUGGGAGCAAGGAUAAAAUGGAACACCUUGGUAAUCCAGAUGCAACAACAGCAGGGAGCAGCUGCUCCCCUCUGGGCUGCGGACAGGAAGACAAGAGGCUGGAGUGAUCAGAACCUCAGAGCUCAAAGGAGCGGGCCCUGCCCAGCUGGGAUUCAGACCACGGAGGGGACGCUGCCUGAAUGGGGCUGGGACAUCUGGGAGACGGAAUGAAGCUGGUCUGGGGACGCAGAAAAGCUGGAGGAUGCAACCGGCCACCACAGUCAGGGCUUUUGGGGGGGUACCAAAGGGAACAAUCGCCCAGAGCACGGAGAAAGGGCCUUGGGCGCCCUCCAGUCCGGGGCUUCCCCGCCCCGCGCGGUCAGACCGAACCCGGAGCCCCAGGCCAUGGGCAAGGCCGCGGCGCAGCGGCGGAGCAGGGCCAGCCGGCGGACGGGGGCUCGGGAGGGCGACCACGCCCAGGACGAACGUCCCGAGGAACAAGGGGAGCAUCACCCAUGACGUUACCGUCACACACUACCUGCCCAACGAGGAAAUUCAAACUGCUUACGGGAAAUCUGCUUGAGAGUAAGAAACAAAAUACGGCGGCCGGAGGCGGAACUAACUCCUGUUCUCAGAGGGCGGCGCCUGCUUCCAGACGAAUCUUCCCGGGACGCCGACUGCUUCAUCUCCGCAAGCCCUCGGACGUCGGGUAUGGGUGGCGCCCGGCUUUGUCCUCUCCUCCUGCGGCCCGCCCGCCUGCUCUCUGCUUGGGGUCGAAUGACCCCAGGGGAAGGCGGGUGGAAGGAUGCGAGGUGCGCAGGGUCCAGACCGGGCCGUAAACUCGCCUGUGGGCAAGCCCGUCUCCUCUCCCAGGGUUGGUGGUGAUGUCACAAGAUGGCAGCGUUCGAAUGAGGAGCCGGCGCCUUCCGCUGCCCCCCAACAGUCUGGGCAGGCGCCCCAAGGCCGGGCUUCCUUUAUGUGCAGCCUAAGCCAGACAAGCUAAGGCGGGGGGUACCCAGCAGACGCUCACUAAACGAUGUAAAACAUUUUCAUUAUGAAAUGCAGGUAUAUUUUUCCUGAUAAAUAUUCAUAAAAUAGAACCACAAUUCAGGAAUUUGCUCUUUUUUUCCCAAACAUGAAUGACCCAAAUGUACUAGGUCUCGCUAGGUCCUCUCAAGCUUUAGAACCUAGAACAAUUGGUUUGAAAAUCAUCACACCUCUUCCUAAUGGGCCUGGCCCAGGGGGACAUUGCUCGUUAGUGACAGGAGUGGAACAUGCGUCCAGGUCUCCUUACCCUGAGUGGAAUGCUCUGUAAGCAGAAUGUCUGCAAAGCCAGGCCCCAGUCCUGGCUUCCUCCGUUUUGGCUGCUCCGGGUGGUUUUGUCAGUGCCAGCACAACCUCAUGGGGCCCAGGAAGCAAAGAGCAGAGUGGUGAGGAAAAAAAUUAAAGGCAAGGGAAGAAACAAGCUUCAGCAAAGGCAAAGGACCCACAGAGAGGAGAAGAAAGGUUUGGUGGAGAUGGAAGAGUCCCUGAGUCCUAAAAUAACCUGAGGACCAUUGUCAUUGAUGUCAUACCUAGAUGCAAGGGGCGCUGAUCAUCUCGUUUGCAGGAGUGAGACAGAAAAGGAUCAGAAAGCGCUGUGCAUGAUGCAGUGCCUUUUAUGCUCACUUCAUCGGAUGUUUUCCUUUCCCAACAUGCUCUGGUGGGAGUGACCAGUGUGUGUGGACUGGAGAAGUCCGUGCAGGGGAUCUCUGACCUCCAGGUAUAGGACCCAAUGAACUUGAAUUACCCUUCAGCAUUAGGCUAGCUCAGGGGUUGAGAAACUUUUUCUGUAAAGGGUUAGAUAGUAAAUAUUUUGGGCUGUAAACAUUGUUGGCUUUGCGAGUCAUAAGGUAUCUAUCACAACUACCCUAGUCUGCCAUGGUAGAGGGAAAGCAGCCAUAGGCAAUAUGGACACAAAUGAGCUGGGCUGUGUUCCAAUAAAACUUUAUUUACAAAACGGGCAGUGAGAUGGAUUUGGCCUGAGAGCCAUGGUUCACUAACCCCUAGUCUAAUUCGUGAACUUGAUAAAACCCUGGAGCUUCUGAGGCUCUUGCUCUGUUAUAGGCGUAAGGACGUAUCAUGAAGUCCUGCCUUCUCUUUGCAGUCAUGCAAUUGCACAUGGCACCUGGGGCUCAGAGAGCAUGCAUGACUCACACAACACCACAGUCCACAGGGAAAAUAGCCUAAAAUGCAUGUACCUCUCCAAGAGGCAAGUCCACUCAUGAAAGCUGCUUGGCUGGAAGUGGGCAGUUUUUGCUUUCCAAGUUGGUUAAGAGGAGAAGUAGGGUUCUUCUUACUGGAAUUAGCUGUCCCUUUUAGUCAGCUACUGGACAUGAGUAGUUACGGCAGUGGCAUCCCCAUAUUUUCAAGUCGACUCUGCAGUCCCCAAACCUCAGUGGCCUGCUCAGUGUGCCCUAGGCCGCCGCAUGGCCCAUCAGGAGCCCCACAGCAGCAUGCGGCCCGCUGGCUGGGGGAAUCAGGGAGCCUGGUGUUUCUGCUUUGUACGCUUUGUACAGAGUUCUUACGUAGCAAAACUACAAUGAGAACAAACUUUUUAAAAAGGAGUGCAGAAGGGCCCUCUGUUUCAGAUCCUCAGCGGUUUGGUGACUGAAUAAAGACAGAUUGGGAGGGAUCGAUGUGUGUAAGUGGCCAGCUUGCUCCGGGAUAUAAAAAUGAUGCCAUUUUAUAGAUUACUCCUUUGUCAUCAAGAAAACAGCUAGUUACAGCAGUGGUUAAUGAUAAAAGGAAAGUCACUCAUAGGACGUUUAGCUUCUUUCCGACAACCUUUCUCAGCAUAAGGACAUUUUCUCCUCAAACAAAGAUUAUUUUUUCCUUAAGAGUGUCCAUGCAACAAUAUUCAACUGGCCUUCAACUUCUAGUUCAACUUCUUACUAAUUUACGAAAUGUUCUAUGGGCUAAAUAAUUGGCAGGAAACACCACCAAAGCUCCUGAUCCAUGAUCUCAAACAUACACUUUUCUAGCAAACUUUCCUUAAGGCAGUCGUAUUGAAAUUUCUUUUUCAGGGUUCUUUCAGCAACGCAAGAGGGCCUGGCCUGGGCUCAGGAACAGUCUGCCACCAACAGUCUGGAACUGCGGCUGCAGAGCCCGUUUCUCAGACAGGUGCCCUUGAGAGGUUUGAUCACAGAGGACAAGCUUGUUCGCCAGCCACUGCCCCAAAAGCCUGCAGACUCCCGGCAUACUUGCAAACAGGGAGGGACACCCUAGUCACACAGGAAGCUCUGUGUACAGUGAGGACAAAUGGCCUUCAUCUUCCACAUCCCUUACAACUGUCCUUGACCCUGGACCCAGGUCCUCAGAGCAUUACUGACAGAAGCACAGUGUUGCAGGUGUGGGGCAAAGAUGGCUGUGAACGAACGUACUGGGGAGCACAAGAGACACUGCCCAUGUCAGUUCCCUCUGCUCCAGUUGGCAGCUAAGUUUCUAUCAUGAUUCUAUAGCAGGCCACACAGACACUCUCAUGGGGCUAAAAGAAUGCCAACAGGGACAAAUUGGGGUCAGAGGGAGCUUGAAAGGAACUCCUCAAGCCACCACAAACAAGCAGCUGCUGCCUGUACCCCAACUUGGAAGUCACGAUGGGUCCUGUCAUGAGGGGGCAGACACCAGGUCAGAUGUAAGGCAUGGCCAUUGGCUGAGCUGGUCAGUGCUGGAGGGGUGGAUGGCCGCAGUCUGUGAGGCCUUUAAAAUGUUUUGCCUCUAUGUCGCCCCAAGCAACUUCUUGUUCUAGAGUAUCCUCUAUAACAGGGAUCUGCAUUUUUUUUCCUAUAAAAAGCCAAGGACCAAGUAUUUUUGGCUUUUCGGUCCAUAAAGUUCUGUCACAACUAAUCAACUCUGCCUUGCCACAGACAAUGUAUAAACCAACGGGAGUGGCUGUUUUCCCAAAAGAAUUUUAUUUACAGAAACAGCCAGUGGACAGAUGAAUGCAUAAACAAAAUGUGCAUAUACAUACAGUGGAAUAUUAUUCAGACUUAAAAAGGAAGAAAAUUCUGUCACAUGCUGCAACAUUGAUGAACCUUGAAGACAUUAUGCUCAGGGAUCUAAGCUAGUCAUGAAAGGAGAAAUACUGGAUGAUUCCACUUAUGUGAGGUUCCUAGAGGAGUCAGAUUCAUAGAGACAGAAAGCAGAACAAUGGUUUCCAGAGGUUGGGGAGGGGAUUGGGGAGUUCAUAUUUAAUAGGUACAGAGUUUCACUUUGGGAAGAUGAAAAAGUUCUGAAGAUAGCUGGUGGUAAUGGUUGCACAAUAAUGUGAAGAUACUUAAUGCCACUAAACUGUGCACUUAAAAACUGGUUAAAAUGGUAAAUUUUGUUAUGUGUAUUUUACCAUAUAUAUAAACAGGCAGUGGGCCAGCCCUCAUCUCUACUCCUGAAGGAUAACGCAUGUCGUGUACAGAGAAGUAUGACAUUUUUCACUCAGGCAGUGGUCCUGGUGUUUCCCUGGGACCAGUCCUCUGGUCUAUGAUGUGUGGGGAUAGGGAGAGAAAUGUGUAGUGUGUUCUCUGCUUCACUAGGGACACAAGAAAUGCUUUCAUGAAAUCAUCAGAAUUUUCAAGAAGUUCAGAGAAGGAAAAAAGGAAAGAGAGAAAUUGUUUUGCGGAGGAGAAGUAGUUAUUAUUCUAUUCUCAAGGACGGUCCAUGCUAAGCUUGUUUGAAGUCAUAAAGUUAAUUGUUUGUUCUCACUGCCUAAAAAUAUUUCCCAAGGAACUAAUGUAAUAGAAAACUGAAUAAGGUUCAGAUAACUACAUUAAACAAGUCUACAACAUUCGGG